GGGGGCAGAGGGGACAUUCUCCUGGGGACAGAAUGGAGGGGGUGGCUGUGGCUAUGUGCAAGAUAAUAAGCCUGCCCCUGACACUGCAGGCUCUCAGUCAACGCCAAGAUCAAGGACCAAGGAGGGCCAGCCCCAAGAUUCCAUGGAUUUUGAAAUGGUCAAGUCAGGGCUGGCAGACCCAGCCAAACGCACACCACCUCCUCUAGUGGAACGGCUUGAGACAGAGCUCCGACACCCAUCGGAAGCAGGAACGCACAGGCAGACCUCCGAUUCAUUCAAAGCAAAAUAAUUCCUCCUGCCUUGCAGUGACCCCACGGUUUAUGUACUCACUUAUGCUGAAAAUAAAUACACUUUAAAGAGC